CGCUGAGACCCGAGCAGCCGGCUACUCCGAGUCUGGAACCGGGAAGCCGCGCUCGGCGGCGGGUGCCGGGCGGCGAUGAGGAUCUGGAGCUCGGAGCACGUGUUCGGCCACCCAUGGGACACGGUCAUCAAGGCUGCUAUGAGGAAGUACCCGAAUCCGAUGAAUCCCUGCGUGGUGGGAGUCGAUGUGCUGGAGCGCAGUGUGGACCGCUGCGGCCGGCUGCACAGCCACCGCCUCCUCAGCACCGAGUGGGGGCUGCCCGCCCUCGUGAAAGCGAUUUUGGGAACCAGUAGGACUUUAACAUACAUCAGAGAACAUUCUGUUGUGGAUCCAGUGGAAAAGAAAAUGGAACUUUGUUCCACCAAUAUCACACUCACAAACUUCGUGUCGGUGAACGAGAGGUUGGUGUACACACCCCAUCCGAAGAACCCUGACAUGACAGUGCUCACGCAGGAAGCCAUCAUCACCGUGAAGGGGAUCAGCCUUGGCAGCUACCUGGAAGGCUUAAUGGCCAACACAAUAUCAUCCAACGCAAAGAAGGCUUGCAGCUGCCGCUGCAGGAGGCAGAGCUUACACCAUGUUGAAACCCUUCUGUGUUGCUCCAGGGGUGGGCUGCUAUUGAGUGGAUAAUUGAAAAUCCUGAAAGCGCUGUGAGCUAACGGGGCCUGCACCUGCGCCUCAUGAUGAACGGUGGUAACUACAUGUUCGUUAACCUGGUUGAGACUAGCUGCUUGCUAACCACGUGCAUGGUGUGCAGUGCGGAAGCGGUUGAUGAGCUGGAGCUGCAUGCGAGUCAGUGUCUUUUGCAGUGAGAAAACAUCACUAGAUGCCCAAAAAAUCAAAGAGGAAAUAAAGAAAGGAAGAAAGAAGCGAGCCCUGAAUAGAUUCAAGGUCCCAGUCUGGGAGAGGUGUGGAAUCUGCUGGAAUCCGCCUCCUGCCUGCUCACAGCCUCCGCCAGGCUCCUCCGUGGUGACCCCAGGACAGGAAGCUCGGCCGAGGUGCAGAAGGAGCUCCUCUGUUGCAGAGUGAGACCCAGAGGAAGAAGACCUCUCACAGGAGGAGGACAGGGGCCACGAAGCUGCCACUUCGUCAUCCUGAUUGCCGAGCAGGGUCCUGGGAGCCAGCCCUGCCCACAGCCCAGCCGCCCCCAUGCCAGCGUUUAGUCAGAUUGUUCUUGUGCCUUUGUCUAUUUUCUCCUUAGCAACAGCUCCGGGCUCUUUCUUGCCAGUUCUUGGGAAAGCACUAAAUAGCUUUUCUCUUUUCAGAUCACUGCCCGUUUCCCUCCCCUGCCUCUUAAAUAACAGUCUUCACCACCAGUCCCUUCACACAUAGCUGGUUACCAUCUGCCGUUUCAGAUGGUGUUGCCAUGGGCCCCUCUCUUCCCCUCAUCACUGCGCGAAUCUGUACACGCUAGAGCAGGGGCGUCCCUCCCCCCUCCAACAGUGAACAGUGACGUGUGGUUGACAGGACCAUGAGCUCUCCAGUCAGAGGCAGAAUUGGUCAGGAGAGCAAAGCUCUGUCCUGGGCCUGCACCUCGUCUGUCCUGCCAUCUGGGACCAGCGACCCCAAGUGCCGAAGGCCAGGGUCCCUUCUCCCCAUGCAGACCUGUCCUCAUGGAGAACCACUGCUAUCCUGUUAGCUUGACGGCACUUCCCAAAUUGGGAGUUUUCAUUUUCUCGUUUUCAAAAGUAAAAUGUACAAUCUCUUUCAAUAUCUUUCAAAUUACAAAACCUUUAGAGAAGGCCUCCUCCAUAAAGGACGGGUAGAACCUGUGUUUCACUGUUUUAUUAGGUAUUGCUUUUUGUUUGAUAAUAGUACUUCCAAUCCAACAUGAAAUUGCUCAUUUUUAUUUUAUUAGACUAUUUUAUGCAUAAAGCUUAAGGCAAAAUAGAGUUUUUAUGUCAAAAACAAACACUCUUACCCCUUCUGCACUGCAAGGUUUGCCCCUUCUAAGGGGACUCUGAACUCUUGGCUGUUUCUGCCAUUUACUGCUAGAUUUCUAAAUAAAUAGGCAUAUUCUGCUUUUUUCUUGA